rnacentral:tRNA from 1 species
CCAGGGACGCAGCUCAGUGGUAGAGCAUUUGCCUAAUAUACACAAGGCCCUGGGUUUGAUUCCCCAGCACUGGG